AGCGAACGCUGGCGGCAUGCCUAACACAUGCAAGUCGAACGCCUAUAGCAAUAUAGGAGUGGCGCACGGGUGAGUAACGCGUGGGAACCUGCCCCGAGGUGGGGGAGUAACCGAUGGAAACGUCGGCUAAUACCGCAUACGUCCUAAGGGAGAAAGAUUUAUCGCCUUGGGAGGGGCCCGGCGUCGGAUUAGCUAGUUGGUGGGGUAACGGCCUACCAAGGCGAUGAUCCGUAGCUGGUC
rnacentral:rRNA from 1 species